CGCUGUCAAAACGUUUACGGCUCGCGCGAGGCGUAAACGCCUGUCAAAGUGUUAUUUACAAACAGAGCACAACAGAGUGAUAAAAUGGAAAACAAAAUAGGAAAGAAAGCACCAAACCAAAAACUGAACAACAGCACCAACCUGUAAAACGCAGCAAGACGAAUAGAAGGAAGUUCCACAAUCGCAGUAACUGAUACUUACAACUGAAACCAAAACCAAAACCAAGUGCUUCUUUCGGCUUCAGCAUGAAUAAUGAAGCAUUAUUACAUAUAUGAUAGAUAUGAAUGGAACCAUCACUCGCUCCUACCUGCGCCCAUCCUGUGUUUACCCGCAAACCAACCAACGAGCGACUCGGCGUUGGCCUACCCUUUUUGCGACGAGUAACAAGCUGCACGGCGCCGUCCGGGAUUUCCCCGAGGCAAACCUGGAAGCAUAAGCUUACUGAUUCCUGUACAAAACAAUAUAUUUUGUAUUAGCAGAGAAUAAACCAGCAUGAUUCGAAUGCACCAACCAUUCUUUUCUUCGUGAUCAC